AUUAAGGUGGCCAUUUCAAACUUUGGCAAGACAGACAGAAGCAGCAGUUUGCUGGCAGCCACCGCAGGAGUGAUACUACCUGGCUGUGGUCCUGCUCAGGAACAUCUUGGAGGUUUAUUAAUGGAAAGAAUUGAAUACAACAAGAUCCAAGAAAAGCUGCUGUGAGACCACGCUGGAUUUUCCCUAUCCAUUUGAUAGUAAAGAAAGUAUGACUGAAGAUACCUUACUCCAAUAAAUUAAGCAGUCAAGUUUCCUUCAUUUUGGAAAUCACAGAGAUCAAUAAAUCUAAACCGCAGCGAGUGAGCUACACCUGGGAGCCAGUCAUCUCAUCGUAGAAGGCAAUCAGGUUGGACAGGCAUGACUUCCCCUUGCAGAAUCCAUGCUGACUUUCUAAUCAGCUUCUUCUCCAAGUGUUUAGAAAUGGAAUCCUUGAGGACCGAGGACCUGCUCCAUAAUCUUUUCAGGGACUGAGGCUUUGAAAAGCAGUAAAACGGCUGACAUCUGAAGUGUUUGCACUGAAAACAUUGCCAGUGCUGAAACUUAGGCUUCUCUUCUUCAUAUGCCCAGAAUAGCCCCAGUCAGAGCAACUAGGCAUCACUGGAGCACAGUGAUGAGGGUAGUCUUUGAAAAGAGGCAGUCCUCAGUUCUAGUGCUUCAUGCCAGGGUUAUUUUUGUUUGUGUCCAAAGAUUAUCUAAUGUAAAAUGGAUAAACCUUACUGUAAACUAGCUAUAAAUACUUUCUUGCUCAGUACCUAGUCAUUCUGUAUCGCCCUACCAAAGUCUCCCUCUCUUUCUAGAUCAUCCUCCAGAGUGUCAGGGGAUAACCAGAAUCUGAACCCAUACCAGAAAGUGCUUUAAACAUUAGGGUAGAGUCUAGUCUGGCUCCCUCUUGUUUAAGAAAGGUCAUUCAGGAAGUUUUUAAAACAAUUUUGCCUAGACCUCAAAACACUGUUUUCAGGGACAGAACCCAAACAUGGGCAACCAUUGUGUCACCAAGAGUGUAAAAACACAAAAGGAACAUAAUCUAUAAAUUUUUUGAAAAGUUCAGAUUGAAAUAAUGUUGCUGGAAGGUAAACAGCAAUGUUAAGGGUGUGAUUAGAGCUUAUGAGCCUAUAAGUUACAUUCUUCUUUUAAAAGGGUUGGUUUGGGUGUAAGAUUAUGAUGUCUCACCAGACUGCACUAUUACAGUAAGUGACACGAGUUCAUUUUCGCAGAUUAUAUAGAGAAGAAAUGCGUGCCAGCUGUGACAAUCAUCAGCAAGGUCUUGCUCUGCUUGAUUUACUUUUUAGACGCAGCUUUUGCUCACAAGCAGCAAAGAAACAAAAUAUGUAGCAAAGAAACAAAAUACGAUGUGGUGCUAAAAUAUUGCAAGGACCCUUUUUAUGCUUGGGUAAAACACCUUACUCUACUGAGAAUUUCUAUAAAUAGUAAUCAGCCACAGAAAGAAAGGCAAUGAUAAUGAAUGUUAACGAAGAGAACUGCAUAUGCAUUCUUCUUUUAAGUUUUAACAUUUUUUAAAGUGUACAAGGAAACCCUACACAACAGUACUUCAGCCCUCUUGCUUUCUGAGUGCUGAAAAGCUGCUUUUUGUUCUGGCAUAGGUUGUUCACACAACCAUGUGGCCUGCUUCCUCUCCAGCCACGUUUACAGCAGACUCAUGGGAUGUGUUUGCUUUCACUAAAUGGAAUCACUUGGCUCUCUGCUGAGGUGGAGAGCAGUGGGAAUUCAGAUGCAUGGCCUGAACAGCAGCUGCUCUCCUUUGCUGGCUCGAUCUCACAGUGUCAUAUGUCAGAUCCUGAACAUAGAAUGCAUUAUAGUUCACAGCUGAAAAAUUGGGACUGGAGUACUGUAAAAUAUCCGAGCAUUAGAAGUGAAAAAAUUACAUGCAUGCUUGCUCUAUCUUUCACACACACACAUGCAAAUGCUCAUGUGAAGUGUCUAAGUAACAUUGUAAGCAUAAACAAUCAGCUCUUUCAAGAUGUAGCAAUUUUGUACACCAAAAUUCACCUUUAUGUGUGAACUGCAUCCUGUAGGUCACACAUCAAAUUCCAGUCCUGAUUAUAAAGGAAACCACUCUAAUGAAACUAGUGUCUGGUAUUAAGCCAUUCCACUCUAGUAUCAAUUCAUUGAGUUUCAGGGUUCAUAAACACUCCCAAACUAUUUUUGAGUUCAGAACUUGAACUUAUUUUCCUGUAAGUUAUAGUAAUUUUUCCUGCAAAAAAAGUGAUUCUGUUACAAAUAAGUAUUUCUAGUAAGAGAGAAGUAACAUUUGUGACUGAUAGAAUACCUUACAGUCAUGGGCAUGCAUGUGGACACCCAUGCUUUUCUAUACGUUUUCUCUCCUUAUACUUGUUUCUUUUCAGUUCUUGUUUUACAUUUCUGAGGCAAAUCCUUCAAAUGUGUUCUGUGCACAUAGAGAUUUAUUCCUGUAUAACACUUGAGUGUUAUUCUUACAAGCCCAUGAUAUUUUAGAGGUAUCAAAAUUAGCCCAAUUGAGUUAAUUAUCAAUAGGUUUUCGCCAUGUUUGACAUGGAAAAACAUAGACUUUCUCUUUUAAAGACACAGGAAACUUUGGGUUUCUCCUUGUAGGCUGGCAGAGUUCCAGCCUGCAAGGCGCUGCUGGGGUCUGGGAGAGCGGGACACAGGGGGCUCCACAUGCAUAUGUGUGCACGCACACAUGCACACUGCCAGCAAUACAGCCAGGCAGUGGAGAGCAGCUUCUUCAGCUGCCUGCAGGUAAGUCUAUGGGAGGGGGCUUAGGUGAUAU